CGACGGAACCUUGUGUUUCUUCACCUCCCUCCCGGGAGAAGGAAGCGGUUUUUGUGGAUGUUCUUUGUCCGCUUCUCAAAACGCCCUCCAAGACACUUCGGUGUCGAGGAGAGGAAACAAAAACUUGUC
rnacentral:telomerase_RNA from 1 species